CCUCACCCCGGAGAGGGAUGCCUACGUGGAAGCGGUCCUGUCUGUUUCCAACGCCAGUGUUGCCCAGCUCCAUACGGCUGGGUAUAGGAGAGAGUUCCUGGAAUACCAUCGUCCCCCUGGGGCUGUGCAUACCUGCGGGGGCCCAGGGGCCUUCCACCUCAUCGUGCACCUGAAGGCAGGAGAUGGAGUCAACGUUGUGGUGACUGGGGGCAGAUUGGCUCACACAGACUUUGAUGAAAUGUACUCCACCUUUAGUGGCGUUUUCUUGUAUCCGUUCCUUUCCCACCUUUAGGGAGGCCAGGAGGGGAAGAGGCUGUAAAAACUCCAGAGCUUUUAAUAUAUUUGGUUUCUGUAGUUUGCUGCACACACUCUGCCUGCCUCCAGGAUAAAAGCCCUCACCUCCCUGUAGAGACGGACACCUCUCGUUUCCAGACAGCUGUGGAGGCAACACAUGGUUCAAUUCUGUCACUGUAACUGGACAACCAGAAGAUUUGUCAAGUCCCCUUUGCUGGAAGCUGGCUUCUCCUGUGCUGCCUAUAUGCCGCCAGUUCUGCCAGAGGCUUCUGGGUUGGGCCCCUUCGGUGCUACAGUGGAGGCCCAUGCUGCUCCCUGACUGGGCUGGGCCUGAUGCAGCUGGAAGACACUGUAGCGGACGCGUCCUCCACACUGCAUGUAGAAGACUUAAACACUGAAGUGCUGAUGUGGCCUGGACCCAGAGUUAGCCUGGGUUGUUCCACACUUGGCUGCUGGUACUGAUCUCUGCUACCAAGGUGGAUGUAAGAGACAUUAUUUAUGAGGCUUGCCGGGCUCCUUAAAUGACAUGUACGAUAUAAGUGCAAAGACAGGGAGCAUCAAUAAAGAUGUCAGAAUCACU
rnacentral:lncRNA from 1 species